rnacentral:rRNA from 1 species
GUUGUAUGGUUAAGUGACUAAGCGUACACGGUGGAUGCCUUGGCAGUCAGAGGCGAUGAAAGACGUAGUAACUUGCGAUAAGCCCAGAUUAGGUAGUAACAACCAUUUGAGUCUGGGAUUUCUGAAUGGGGAAACCCACGUGCAUAAGCACGUAUCCUUACCUGAAUACAUAGGGUAAGGAGGCGAACCGGGGGAACUGAAACAUCUAAGUACCCCGAGGAAAAGAAAUCAACCGAGAUUCCGAAAGUAGCGGCGAGCGAAAUUGGACUAGCCCUUAAGCUUUACACGCGUUAGACGAACGGUCUGGAAAGUCCGACGAUACAGGGUGAUAGUCCCGUAGUUGACGACGUGUGUUCAGUGAAAUCGAGUAGGGCGGGACACGUGAUAUCCUGUCUGAAUAUGGGGGGACCAUCCUCCAAGGCUAAAUACUACUGACUGACCGAUAGUGAACCAGUACCGUGAGGGAAAGGCGAAAAGAACCCCUGUGAGGGGAGUGAAAUAGAACCUGAAACCGUGUACGUACAAGCAGUAGGAGCACCUUCGUGGUGUGACUGCGUACCUUUUGUAUAAUGGGUCAGCGACUUAUAUUCAGUGGCAAGGUUAACCAUCUAGGGGAGCCGUAGGGAAACCGAGUCUUAACUGGGCGUUCAGUCUCUGGAUAUAGACCCGAAACCAGGUGAUCUAGCCAUGGGCAGGUUGAAGGUUGAGUAACAUCAACUGGAGGACCGAACCGACUAAUGUUGAAAAAUUAGCGGAUGACUUGUGGCUAGGGGUGAAAGGCCAAUCAAACCUGGAGAUAGCUGGUUCUCCCCGAAAGCUAUUUAGGUAGCGCCUCGGACGAAUACUACUGGGGGUAGAGCACUGUUAAGGCUAGGGGGUCAUCCCGACUUACCAACCCUUUGCAAACUCCGAAUACCAGUAAGUACUAUCCGGGAGACACACGGCGGGUGCUAACGUCCGUCGUGGAGAGGGAAACAACCCAGACCGCCAGCUAAGGUCCCAAAUUACUACUAAGUGGGAAACGAUGUGGGAAGGCUCAGACAGCCAGGAUGUUGGCUUAGAAGCAGCCAUCAUUUAAAGAAAGCGUAAUAGCUCACUGGUCGAGUCGGCCUGCGCGGAAGAUGUAACGGGGCUAAGUAGUAAACCGAAGCUGCGGCAAUGUGCUUUUGCACAUUGGGUAGGGGAGCGUUCUGUAAGCGGUUGAAGGUGUGUGGUAACGCAUGCUGGACGUAUCAGAAGUGCGAAUGCUGACAUGAGUAACGAUAAAGGGGGUGAAAAACCUCCUCGCCGGAAGACCAAGGGUUCCUGUCCAACGUUAAUCGGGGCAGGGUAAGUCGACCCCUAAGGCGAGGCCGAAAGGCGUAGUCGAUGGGAAACGGGUUAAUAUUCCCGUACUUCUUACAAUUGCGAUGGGGGGACGGAGAAGGCUAGGUGGGCCUGGCGACGGUUGUCCAGGUUCAAGUGCGUAGGCUUAAGAGUUAGGUAAAUCCGGCUCUUUUUAAGGCUGAGACACGACGUCGAGCACCUACGGGUGUGAAGUCAUUGAUGCCAUGCUUCCAGGAAAAGCCUCUAAGCUUCAGAUUGUAAGGAAUCGUACCCCAAACCGACACAGGUGGUCGGGUAGAGAAUACCAAGGCGCUUGAGAGAACUCGGGUGAAGGAACUAGGCAAAAUGGUACCGUAACUUCGGGAGAAGGUACGCUCUCGACGGUGAAGUCCCUUGCGGAUGGAGCUAUUGAGAGUCGCAGAUACCAGGUGGCUGCAACUGUUUAUUAAAAACACAGCACUGUGCAAAAUCGUAAGAUGACGUAUACGGUGUGACGCCUGCCCGGUGCCGGAAGGUUAAUUGAUGGGGUUAGACUUCGGUCGAAGCUCUUGAUCGAAGCCCCGGUAAACGGCGGCCGUAACUAUAACGGUCCUAAGGUAGCGAAAUUCCUUGUCGGGUAAGUUCCGACCUGCACGAAUGGCGUAAUGAUGGCCACGCUGUCUCCACCCGAGACUCAGUGAAAUUGAAAUCGCUGUGAAGAUGCAGUGUACCCGCGGCUAGACGGAAAGACCCCGUGAACCUUUACUACAGCUUGGCACUGAACAUUGACCCUACAUGUGUAGGAUAGGUGGGAGGCUUUGAAGCACGUACGCCAGUAUGUGUGGAGCCGUCCUUGAAAUACCACCCUUGUAGUGUUGAUGUUCUAACGUCGACCCCUUAUCGGGGUUGCGGACAGUGCCUGGUGGGUAGUUUGACUGGGGCGGUCUCCUCCCAAAGAGUAACGGAGGAGCACGAAGGUGGGCUAAUCACGGUUGGACAUCGUGAGGUUAGUGCAAUGGCAUAAGCCCGCUUGACUGCGAGAAUGACAAUUCGAGCAGGUGCGAAAGCAGGUCAUAGUGAUCCGGUGGUUCUGAAUGGAAGGGCCAUCGCUCAACGGAUAAAAGGUACUCCGGGGAUAACAGGCUGAUACCGCCCAAGAGUUCAUAUCGACGGCGGUGUUUGGCACCUCGAUGUCGGCUCAUCACAUCCUGGGGCUGAAGUCGGUCCCAAGGGUAUGGCUGUUCGCCAUUUAAAGUGGUACGCGAGCUGGGUUUAGAACGUCGUGAGACAGUUCGGUCCCUAUCUGCCGUGGGCGUUGGAAGAUUGAAGGGGGCUGCUCCUAGUACGAGAGGACCGGAGUGGACGAACCUCUGGUGUUCGGGUUGUGUCGCCAGACGCAUUGCCCGGUAGCUAAGUUCGGAAUCGAUAACCGCUGAAAGCAUCUAAGCGGGAAGCGAGCCCUGAGAUGAGUCUUCCCUGAUACUUUAAGUAUCCUAAAGGGUUGUCGGAGACUACGACGUUGAUAGGUCAGGUGUGUAAGUGCUGUGAGGCAUUGAGCUAACUGAUACUAAUUGCCCGUGAGGCUUAACCAUACAACACCCAAGGGGUUU